CAGUCGCCACGGGAAUACGUAGGUGGCAAGCGUUGUCCGGAAUUAUUGGGCGUAAAGCGCGCGCAGGUGGUUUAAUAAGUCUGAUGUGAAAGCCCACGGCUCAACCGUGGAGGGUCAUUGGAAACUGGAAAACUUGAGUGCAGAAGAGGAAAGUGGAAUUCCACGUGUAGCGGUGAAAUGCGUAGAGAUGUGGAGGAACACCAGUGGCGAAGGCGACUCUCUGGUCUGUAACUGACGCUGAGGAGCGAAAGCGUGGGGAGCGAACAGGAUUAGAGACCCGAGUAGUCCCUGUCUCUUAUAA
rnacentral:rRNA from 1 species